CGUCCUACGGGAGGCAGCAGUGGGGAAUAUUGCACAAUGGAGGGAACUCUGACGCAGCGACGCCGCGUGAGUGAAGAAGUAAUUCGUUAUGUAAAGCUCUAUCAGCAGGGAAGAUAAUGACGGUACCUGACUAAGAAGCCCCGGCUAACUACGUGCCAGCAGCCGCGGUAAUACGUAGGGGGCAAGCGUUAUCCGGAUUUACUGGGUGUAAAGGGUGCGUAGGUGGCAGGGCAAGUCAGAUGUGAAAGCCCGGGGCCCAACCCCGGUACUGCAUUUGAAACUGUCCGGCUGAAGUGCAGGAGAGG
rnacentral:rRNA from 1 species